GUAACUGGUCAUGUUAAAUGGU
rnacentral:siRNA from 1 species